UGAACGCUGGCGGCAUGCCUAACACAUGCAAGUCGAACGGUAACAGCAGAGCUUGCUCUGGCUGACGAGUGGCGGACGGGUGAGUAAUGAAUAGGAAUCUGCCUAGUAGUGGGGGACAACGUGGUGAAAACCACGCUAAUACCGCAUACGCCCUACGGGGGAAAACGGAGGAUCUUCGGACUUCGUGCUAUUAGAUGAGCCUAUUUCUGAUUAGCUUGUUGGUGAGGUAAUGGCUCACCAAGGCGACGAUCAGUAGCUGGUUUGAGAGAAUGAUCAGCCACACUGGGACUGAGACACGGCCCAGACUCCUACGGGAGGCAGCAGUGGGGAAUAUUGGACAAUGGGCGAAAGCCUGAUCCAGCAAUGCCGCGUGUGUGAAGAAGGCCCGAGGGUUGUAAAGCACUUUCAGCAGUGAGGAAAAGUUUUCGGUUAAUACCCGAGAACCCUGACGUUAACUGCAGAAGAAGCACCGGCUAACUC
rnacentral:rRNA from 1 species